UCGCCAAGCAGGCCUUGUUUACGCUGAACGGCUCACCGGGAAACUGAACUCUCCACUUCCCACCUGGUUUCCCCACCCCCUUUCCCAGCCAGACUUGCUCUUGUUAAGAGCGAGCCCAUUUAACAGCGGCCUUAGGUACAAAGGGCCUUUAGAAGGCAACAGCUGGCACGAGUCCUGGAGAUCUGAAGGGAGGAGCCUAGCGGGAUCAAACAAGCCAUGGAAGCCCUGUCACAUGCACUGAUAUUUGGGGCAGCCGAACAGCUCACUCCACCUCAGAUUAAACCUGCCCUGGAUCCCAUCCAAGCCAACGAUUUCCUCCUCACGCGCAACACUUCCUAUCUUAGCUGAAUGCAGCCCGGCCACCAGCUCUGAUUUCUUCUGAUCACCAGCUGCCAGCCCUCGCUGGGGGCACAGCUCUUCUGCCUGCUCCCGGGGGGGAGGGGCUCCGCAACCUCCUUUGCUCUGCCUGCCUUUUCUGUGCCUCUCCUCAGCUUGUACCUUCCUUUGUUCUAGCUCCCUUCCCCACAUUA